rnacentral:rRNA from 1 species
CCUACGGGAGGCUGCAGUGAGGAAUAUUGGUCAAUGGACGCAAGUCUGAACCAGCCAUGCCGCGUGCAGGAAGACGGCUCUAUGAGUUGUAAACUGCUUUUGUACGAGGGUAAACGCAGAUACGCGUAUCUGUUUGAGAGUAUCGUACGAAUAAGCAUCGGCUAACUCCGUGCCAGCAGCCGCGGUAAUACGGAGGAUUCAAGCGUUAUCCGGAUUUAUUGGGUUGAAAGGGUGCGUAGGCGGUCGGAUAAGUUAGAGGUGAAAUCCCGAGGCUCAACUUCGGAAUUGCCUCUGAAACUGUUCGGCUAGAGAGUAGUUGCGGUAGGCGGAAUGUAUGGUGUAGCGGUGAAAUGCUUAGAGAUCAUACAGAACACCGAUUGCGAAGGCAGCUUACCAAGCUACUUCUGACGUUGAGGCACGAAAGCAUGGGGAGCAAACAGGAUUAGAUACCCCUGUAGUC